rnacentral:tRNA from 1 species
ACCUGGCUGGGUCAGCUGGUAGAGCGUGCGACUCUUGAUCUCGGGGCUGUGAGUUCAAGCCCCACGCUGGGUG